rnacentral:rRNA from 1 species
UCCGGGUUGAUCCUGCCAGAGGUUACUGCUAUCGGUGUUCGACUAAGCCAUGCGAGUCAUAUGUUCUUCGUGAACAUGGCGGACUGCUCAGUAACACGUGGAUAACCUGCCCUUAGGUUUGGCAUAACUCCGGGAAACUGGAGAUAAUUCCGAAUAGGUCACAUAUGCUGGAAUGCUUUUUGACCAAAAGACCUCGGUUGCCUAAGGAUGGAUCUGCGGUCUAUCAGGUAGUAGUGGGUGUAACGUACCUACUAGCCUACGACGGAUAUGGGUUGUGAGAGCAAGAGCCCAGAGAUGGAUUCUGAGACAUGAAUCCAGGCCCUACGGGGCGCAGCAGGCGCGAAAACUUUACAAUGCGGGAAACCGCGAUAAGGGGACACCGAGUGCCAGCAUUUAUGUUGGCUGUCCACAUGUGUAAACGGCAUGUGUUAGCAAGGGCCGGGCAAGACCGGUGCCAGCCGCCGCGGUAACACCGGCGGCCCGAGUGGUAAUCACUUUUAUUGGGUCUAAAGGGUCCGUAGCCGGUUUGAUCAGUUCUUCGGGAAAUCUGACAGCUCAACUGUUAGGCUUCCGGGGAAUACUGUCAGACUUGGGACCGGGAG